rnacentral:rRNA from 1 species
UGGGGAAUCAUGGUCAAUGGGCGAAAGCCUGAACCUGCGACGACGCGUGAGUGAUGAAGGUCGUAAGAUCGUAAAACUCUUUUCAGGGAUCUUAAAGCCUGUCUGUCAACAACAGGCAGGUCUGACUCUCCCUGGAAGAAGCCCCAGCCAACUACGUGCCAGCAGCUGCGGUAAUACGUAGGGGGCGAGCGUUAUUCGGAAUUACUGGGUGUAAAGGGACUGUAGCCUGCCCUUCAAGUCGCGUGUCAAAGUCCAGUGCUCAACGCGGGGUGUGCACGGGAUACUGACGGGCUUGAGGGCUGGAGAGGUGAGCGGAAUUCCCGGUGUAGUGGUAAAAUACGUAGAGAUCGGGAGGAACACCAGCGGCGCAGGCGGCUCACUAGACAGUUUCUGACGCUAAGAUACGAAAGCGUGGGGAGCAAACA